rnacentral:rRNA from 1 species
CCUACGGGGGGCUGCAGUAGGGAAUUUCCCGCAAUGGCCGAAAGUCUGACGGACCAACCCCGCGUGACGAAAGAAGGUUUUCGGAUCGUAAAGCACGGUUGUUAGGGAAGACCAAGUGCGGUGGGAAAUGACAGAACCUCGACUCUACUUAACGAGAACACAACGCCUAACUACUGUCCAGCUCCGGCGGUAAUACGUAGGUGGCAAGCGUUGUCCGGAAUUGUAGGGCUUGAAGCGCGGGCAGGCGGCCUUUUAAGUCUGAUGUUAAAUCUUUCGUCUCAACCGCAAGCGGUCAUUGGAAACUGGAAGACUUGAGUGCAGAAGAGGAAAGCGGAAUUCCACGUGUAGCGGUGAAAUGCGUAGGGAUGUGGAGGAACACCAGUAGCGAAGGCGGCUUUCUGGUCUGUAACUGACGCUGAGGCGCGAAAGCGUGGGGAGCAAACAGGAUUAGAUACCCUAGUAGUC